GAUGAACGCUAGCGACAGGCUUAACACAUGCAAGUCGAGGGGCAGCAUAGAAGUAGCAAUACUUUGGUGGCGACCGGCGCACGGGUGAGUAACGCGUAUGCAACCUACCUAUCAGAGGGGAAUAACCCGGCGAAAGUCGGCCUAAUACCGCAUAAAACAGGGGCACCGCAUGGUGCUAUUUGUUAAAGAUUUAUUGCUGAUAGAUGGGCAUGCGUUCCAUUAGGUAGUUGGUGAGGUAACGGCUCACCAAGCCGACGAUGGAUAGGGGAACUGAGAGUUUGGUCCCCCACACUGGUACUGAGAAACGGACCAGACUCCUACGGGAGGCAGCAGUGAGGAAUAUUGGUCAAUGGGCGAGAGCCUGAACCAGCCAAGUCGCGUGAAGGAAGAAGGAUCUAUGGUUCGUAAACUUCUUUUGCAGGGGAAUAAAGUGAAGGACGUGUCCUUUUUUGUAUGUACCCUGAGAAUAAGGAUCGGCUAACUCCGUGCCAGCCGCCGCAGUAA
rnacentral:rRNA from 1 species